GAGAGUGGGGUUUGUUAUGCUUGUGCCGUGGCAACUACCAAUGAGAGGAGCGUAUUUGAAAUACGUCAUGGAGCGCCACCUUCGAAAUGUCCUAUUUGACUUGAACUCAGCUGAUCGUUACUGAACUACCUGGAUCUCAAGCCUUGCCUACUUUUUACACGACUGUGGCUAAUAAGAUUUAAAGAAAAAGGUGGGUUCUUAACUGCUACAAUGAAGAUGUACUUGGUAUAAUCAAUUACAUGAUUUCAACAAUUAACAGUUCGUAUUAGUAACAAUAUUACAUGCAGCAACGCUAGAGCGUAUGUUAUUGUAUGCAAGAGAAAAUGAGCUCUGGAAAAGCACUGCAGUCGGUGUCUCCUCACUACAACCAACAGCCACCGACACCAAGCCUGGCGAAAAGAAAGAAAAUUCAAGAGAAGUCUGCAAUAAGGAGUCCAACAGACAAUGUGAUGUCCCCAUGUACAAGACAGCUCAUGAAGAAAGCUAUCAAGGACAUACCGUCAUCUCCCAGACCCAGACGGGAAGCAAAAGAGAACACUGCAAAUAAAUGAAUUACCUUUUUAUGUACAGUGUGAUGUCUUUACGGUAUUCCUCUCUCUGCUAAGAUGGGCAGAUAAAUUAAUCAUUGACACUUUCCUGACAUUCUACCGUCUUUUUAAUAUGUUCUUACUAACCAAGCUGCUCACACUUUAUUGAUCCAUUAUGCAAUGUGGUGUAUAUGGGGGGGUUAUAUUCUUCAUUUAUAUGGUGUAUAGGGGGGUUAUAUUCUUCAUUAAUAUGGGGCUGUUAUAUUCUUCAUUAAUAUGGUGUAUACGGGGGGUUAUAUUCUUCAUUAAUAUGGUGUAUACGGGGGGUUAUAUUCUUCAUUAAUAUGGUGUAUACGGGG
rnacentral:lncRNA from 1 species